rnacentral:misc_RNA from 1 species
AACAAGCAAUAAAUCUUUUCAUGUGACUCACGCCAGCAACAGUAAAUAGAUUCCAAACAUCCGACAUUAUCUAAUACUGUUGUGUGUAGAAUAAAAACUUUGUACCAACCCAGCCACAACAACAGAAUAUCAUGACAUUGACAGGUAUGCCCUAAACCUGCUAGUUAUCUACUUAGCUUUCCAUACUACAUAUGAUCUAUAUUAUAUGACAAUAAAAAAUAGUACAGCAUCAUUCGAAUGCAAGUCAGCUCUGUUAAAGAUCAAAAUGCUGAAUGUGGAACAGCAAUUUGGCAUUUAAUCUAAUAACAUUCAUCUAUACCUCAUAUCAAACAAG